AUGAACGCUGGCGGCGUGCCUAAUACAUGCAAGUCGAGCGAACAGACGAGGAGCUUGCUCCUCUGACGUUAGCGGCGGACGGGUGAGUAACACGUGGAUAACCUACCUAUAAGACUGGGAUAACUUCAGGAAACCGGAGCUAAUACCGGAUAAUAUAUUGAACCGCAUGGUUCAAUAGUGAAAGACGGUUUUGCUGUCACUUAUAGAUGGAUCCGCGCCGCAUUAGCUAGUUGGUAAGGUAACGGCUUACCAAGGCAACGAUGCGUAGCCGACCUGAGAGGGUGAUCGGCCACACUGGAACUGAGACACGGUCCAGACUCCUACGGGAGGCAGCAGUAGGGAAUCUUCCGCAAUGGGCGAAAGCCUGACGGAGCAACGCCGCGUGAGUGAUGAAGGUCUUCGGAUCGUAAAACUCUGUUAUUAGGGAAGAACAAAUGUGUAAGUAACUAUGCACGUCUUGACGGUACCUAAUCAGAAAGCCACGGCUAACUACGU
rnacentral:rRNA from 1 species